CACUCCUCAGAUAGCUGUGUAAGGCUGUUGUAGAGCAGAAGACCUUCAUUUUGGCCAAACAUGGAUGUGGGGUCAUUGCAGAGCUGUCCCAUUAUUUGAGAUGGACCAGGAAGAGGAUGAGGAAGAGGAUGUUCUUUCAAUGAAGAGCAGAGGUGGCUGUACAUAUGCAACACAUGCUCUUGCGCCCCCUGCAGGCACUGACCCCGACACGUUCAUAUACACGAACUUCAUGAAGAGUCACUGCUGCUACGAUGCCAUUCCUACCAGCUCCAAACUGGUCAUUUUUGACACAACACUACAGGUGAAGAAGGCUUUCUUUGCUCUGGUGGCUAAUGGUGUGAGGGCAGCGCCACUGUGGGACAACAAGCUUAAGUGUUUUGUGGGUAUGCUGACCAUCACUGACUUCAUCAACAUUCUCCAUCGUUAUUACAAGUCUCCUCUGGUUCAGAUCUAUGAGCUGGAAGAACACAAGAUAGAGACAUGGAGAGAGAUCUAUCUACAGUACUCUCUCAACACACUGAUCAGCAUCACUCCCGACUGCAGUCUGUUUGAGGCCAUCUACUCCCUGUUGAAGAAUAAGAUACACCGGCUGCCGGUCAUCGACCCGCUGUCAGGGAAUGUCCUCCACAUCCUCACCCACAAACGCAUCCUCAAGUUCCUCCACAUCUUUGGAUCUAUGAUUCCUAAACCCAGGUUUCUUCAGAAGCGGAUCAGUGAAGUGGCGAUCGGUACCUUCAGACAGAUCGCGACAGUCCAGGAGUCAGCCUCUGUCUACGAGGCUCUGUCCAUUUUUGUGGAGAGAAGAGUGUCCGCUCUGCCCGUAGUCAAUGAGCAAGGUAAAGUGGUGGCGCUGUACUCCAGGUUUGAUGUGAUUAACCUCGCAGCCCAGAAAAACUACAACAACCUGAACAUGUCGAUGCAGGAGGCCAUAGCCUCCAGAGCCUGCUGCAUGGAGGGAGUCCUCAAGUGUUACCCUUACGAAACACUGGAGACCAUCAUCGACCGCAUCGCAGGGGCUGAGGUGCAUCGUUUGGUGUUGGUCGACAGUGGCGAUGUGGUGAGAGGGAUUGUCUCUCUGUCUGACCUUCUACAAGCCCUGGUUCUCACUCCUGCAGGUAUUGAUGCACUGUACGCCUAACUCGACCCCUCCCAUUCAUCCCUUGCUCUUUCUCUCAGCCCUCCAUUACCCGUCCAUCUACCUACCUGCCUUCAAAUCCUCGAACGCUUCCUGCAGAACAAACUCUUCUUCAUCCAACUUUUCAUCUGCCUGAAGACAAUGAGGGGUCUUUGUUCUCUUCCUGUAACAACCCUGUCUAUAGUCUCCUGAUGCUUUCAGCUAUCCAUCUUGUGCUCCUACAAAGAUCAGCAUCUGAAAUCUUUACUUAAACUUGGCCGCUAACCACCUCUUCUAAAAUCUUCUGCUCCAUCAAAAUCAACCAACCACCUCAUCAGGAGGUCCUCCCUUGUCCUUACACUUCCUCUAAAACUUUCAUUUCAAGCAUCAAACUAAAUGCUUCCCAAGCCUACUCUGAUACACCGUGCUCCUGGCAAAAUAAACAGAAGCCCUCUCGAAACCCUCUGCCCGGCCAAAGUCCACUAGCCAUUGUUGAAUACUUAAUCUUCCAAUCCAAGUUACCUCCACCAAAAUCGUGUGAUCCAACCUACCAACCAAGCAGUUUCCUUACCAUCUACGUUCUGACACCAACCCUCCGCACCUUCUCCCAAACAACCCUUUUUCAUCUGUCAGCUGCCGUCUUCAUGCUGCAGUUCCUCCUAUGAAACCACGUGCAUCCAGCAUCUCUUAGCCAACACAUCCCAGAUAUUUAUGAGAGAUCCUGCUGUCAAGACUGAAAAAAAAAAGAAGAUGGAGACUGGUCACGUAAAACAAGUCAAUUAAUGGUUAGCGGAGCAGCGUUGUGGCCCCCAAAAGACAAAUAUGGAAAGAAAACUUGAAAAUGGAAACACUUUGACCCUUCUCUUUAAGUACCAAUAAUGUGCCCUUUAGCAAGGCAUUGUAUUGCUGCUCAGUGAUCGCCAAUAGAUGACUGCAAUCGUGCUGGGAAGCUACCAGUGUUGAACUAUAUCAUGGGUGUGGCUGGAAAACAGUGUCAGACUCAUGAUGCACAUCUGGUGACUUUUAAACUGAUCUUACUAACUACUAACUAACUAACUAAAGCAGCACAUCUGAGCUUAUUAUGCAAAUUGUGUUAUUUUUGACUUUGACUUUGGCAAAAAAAAGUGAUAUGUGUAUUAGUUUGUACUGAACUUUCUGGUCUUAGAAUGAUUAAACAUUAGUCAUUCAUAUAUUGAAAAUAUUGGAUUGUGGAAUUGUGAUCACAUUUUUGUAAAAGCACUUAUGCUCCAGUCACUGUGAAAAAAAAGAAAAUAAAUGUGUUACUUUCAAGUGUACCGUUAACUAUGGGUUUCAAAGACUAUAGUUUUGUUUUGCAAAAGCAAUUUAGUUUUGAUAUGCUGAAGAAUGUUCUGAAGAGGAUAUCGUGCAGUAGGGCUGUAGUAGCAAGAUUACCAAAAUCCCAUAUUCUGAUACAGGUAAUUUCACAUCCAGAUAACGAUACUUACCACAGUACAGCACAUUCUCUGUAAAUUACUAGUUUAUAUAAAAUGACCACAUGGACUCAUCAAAUAAAGGUGCUUGCCCACAUUAUUUUUGUCCUUUGAA